rnacentral:rRNA from 1 species
AGAGUUUGAUCCUGGCUCAGGGUAAAUGCUAGCGGCGUGCAUUAGGCAUGCAAGUAGAACGAGUCCGAUUUAUCGGACUAGUUGCGAACGGCUGAGUACAAAAUAGGAAUCUGCCCCUUAGUGGGGAAUAGUCCCGCGAAAGUGGGGUUAAUACCGCAUGAGUCCCGCCGAUGAGGCGGGGGAAAGGGCGUAACUGCCCGCUAAGGGAUGAGCCUAUUUCCUAUCAGUUUGUUGGUGGGGUAAUGGCCUACCAAGACUUCGACGGGUAGGGGGCGUGAGAGCGCGUACCCCCAGAAUGGCACUGAGAUACGGGCCAUACACCUACGGGUGGCAACAACCGGGAAUCGUGCGCAAUGGGCGAAAGCCUGACGCCGCGACGCCGCGUGAAGGACUAAGGCCUUAGGGUCGUAAACUUCUUUUGCUCCGAGUGAGAACUCGGAGAGAAUAAGCACCAGCUAACUACGUGCCAGCAGCUGCGGUAAUACGUAGGGUGCAAGCAUUGCCCGGAUUUAUUGGGCGUAAAGGGUCCGUAGGCGAUUUGGUAAGUUGUUCUUUAAAUACCGUGGCUUAACUGCGGAAGGGGGAGCAAUACUGCCAGAAUUGAGGAAUUUUGGGGCUACUGGAACUGUCGGUGUAGGGGUGAAAUCCUUUGAUAUCGAUAGGAACUCCGAGGGCGAAGGCAGGUAGCUAAGAAUUUUCUGACGCUGAGGGACGAAAGCUAGGGUAGCGAAAGGGAUUAGAGACCCCUGUAGUCCUAGCCGUAAACGAUGCUCGCUAGCUUGUGGUUUUUAUUAUCACGAGCGUAAGCUAACGCGUGAAGCGAGCCGCCUGGGGAGUACGCACGCAAGUGUAAAACUCAAAGGAAUUGACGGGGACCUGCACAAGUAGUGGAGCAUGUGGUUUAAUUCGAGACGGACCGAAAAACCUUACCUAGGUUUGGCAUCUUAUUCUUAAUGCUCUGAUAGAAACAUUGGAGAACUUUGGUAUUAAUUUAUCGAGGAGGAUAUGACAGGUGCUGCAUGGCUAUCGUCAGCUCGUGCCGUGGGGUGUUCCCUUAAGUGGGGUAACGAGCGCAACCCCUGCCGAAUGUUAAAUAUCCAUUCGGGACUGGUCCGAUUUUCGGACAGGAAGUGGGGACGACGUUAAGUCAGCAUGGCCCUUAUACCUAGGGCUGCACACAUGCUACAAUGGAGCCGACAAUGGGUUGCCAAGCCGCAAGGCGGAGCUAAUCUCAUCAAACGGCUUCUCAGUGGGGAUUGAGGGCUGCAAUUUGCCCUCAUGAACGAGGAAUUACUAGUAAUCGCGGAUCAGCCAAGCCGCGGUGAAUACGUUCUCAGGUCUUGUACACACCGCCCGUC